CUGAGGCAGGAGAAUCACUUGAACCCAAGAGGAUGAGGUUGCAUUGAGCCGAGACUGCAUGAUUGCACUCCACCUAGGGCGACAAAAGCGAAACUCCAUCUCAAAAAAAAAAUACAAUAAUCAUUUUAUUAUUGCUUGUGGUUUUAUGAGAUGGCUGGGCUCAGCUGGGCAGCUCUUCUGCUGGUAGUUCUUGAGGCCUUUUAUAUGUUUGUGGUCAAGUGGGUCUAGGGUUCAACUUUGCUGAGGCUUAACUAGGACUUGAUGACUAGACCGCUUUUCCAAAUGUUAGGACUUUUCACUCCUUGUGGCCCUUUGUGUAGCUUCUCCAUGUGCUUUCUUCACCAUUCCAAAGGAAGGACAGAGAACUGCCAGUCCUCUUAGAGACGAGGCAGGACAUGGACAUAAUGUCACCACUGCUGCCUUCACCACACUGAGGACUCUCUUCUAUUUUAUGUUUCUAAUUUUUUGAUUAUGAUGACUCUUUUGAUGAUAUGAACUACCUGCCCCUUAAGCCUUCUCUGAAUAGCACUUAUCAACUCAAGCUAGGUCUGAUCACUGUCUUCUGUGUGCCCUGAACAUAGGUUUUGGUUUAGUUGCCACUUUUUCCCCAGCUAGACUAGAAGCUAACAAAUGGUCAUGCCUUUCUCACUCUUUUUCCUUAGGGCUAGCAAGAGGUGUUGCUGGACACAUAGUAGGCAAGUAGUAAGCAUUUAUUGAAUCAAUGAAUGAAUGAAUGAGCUUAUUUAUACCUAUGAGGUCUAUUCCAGCUGAGGUGAUCACCAUAAGGAUUUUUGUGGAACACACUCCAGCAAGUUCAACCAAGUGACAUCUGAUAUCUUUUCCAACUAAGAAAUUUUAUGAAUCUUGAUCAAGAGAGGGGACAGCUUUGGGGCAAGAGUGGGAGGAUGUGUUGUGAGAGAUAAUGCAUGAGGAAGUAUUUUUAAAAUUACAAAAUGUAAGAGCAAGUAUUAUUAGUCUCUCAAUUUCAAGAUCCCAGUGGAUAGCUAUACCACAGGACUUAAAUCCAAGAUUACCUUGUGAUGUUUGGAGAGGAGAGAGUUAAAGAUUAGUUCCAAGUUACAUAAUAUGAAAUAAGAAAAAGACAAACAAGUUCUUUUGACCUCACUUAAGUUUUACUUGACCUUUGAAUACAAAAUAACGCAUGAGCAGCUGCCCCAAAUGUUACCCUUUUUUCCAUGAUAGAAAAUAGAAAAACAUUUCCAACAAUUGUUUAUAUCAUGUUUUUCUUUUGGAACUGUGUGUAUGAUCAGAUGCCUCAGAAAACACCAAAGAUAAUGAAAAAGCCCUUGGUUCCUGAAGAAGAAAGGUUAAGGGUCCAUUUCCCUUUCAUCGCUAGAGGCCAUUGUAAAGUAAUACAUAUUUUAAUCGCUUAUGGAAUAAUUUCUAUUGACCUUUGUGUGUUUGAGUAACUCUAAAGCUUAGUCUCUUUUUCCUAAUCACCUAAUUUAUUCUCACGUAUAAAGUAGCGUACAGUAGUCAUGCAUUAAAGUUACUUAUCACUGAUUUAGGUGUUUUUUUUUUUAAAGGAGGCAGCUUAGUCUUAUCUGCAGUUCCAGCAAUGAAUAAUCUGACAGUCAGAUAUUUCAAAAUACUUAACGACUUUUUGCCCUUAACUGCAGCUGCUACAGAAAAGAAAAAAGCAAUACUCAACUGGAGCUUUCCCAAUGCCAGGCACCUUCACAGCAUGGAGGACCUCACCAUGAGGGAGGCAGAUGUGGUGUUUAUAGAAGAAUGAGAUCAACAAACAAGAAGUUAAAUAUGGAGCAAGAUGGCUUCAAGAAUCCAGUACAUGCUGUAAAGGAGGCGAAUCAGGGUGUUAAGACUGUUCAUGUGUCGCGAAGGCAUGCGAGGAGCCAACAUUCAAGCUAAGAGCUAAACAAUGGGAGAAGUCAGUUGUUAGUGGAUGAGCUACAGACAGAGGGACAAAGGAGUGACAGCAGAGAGAUGUGCAACAGAGAGAAAUGCAAUGCAAUAUGAGUUCUGAUGGUAGCACCUAUGCCAUGCUGAUGAGUUCCUUUGAGGGCUGUGCCAUCCUGGGUGUUAUCAUUGUCUGCCUGGCCAUUUCCCCUCUUGAGGACAUGUUACCAACUGCUGUGAUUGAGAAUUCAGGGGACCACACUAACAUCAGAGGAAACUAGUGCACACUAACCUCUUGCAUAAAGUGAAAGGAAAUUGAUCUACCACCAAGAUUCUUAUAAGUGAUGUUUUUCCCAAUCCCUGACCAUGGCCAGUGUCAUGAAGUUGUCAUUGCAAUUGGACUCAGAACAUUAGGGGCCUGGAGAAAGAAAUACAGGAUUAGGUCUUCUAAGCCUUUGUUUAUACCCUGGGUCCUUUUAAAAUUCCUAUUUCAGACUCUGGGCCUGUGGUCCUUCCUAAAAUGUACAACUAAAGCAAUUCUCUAAGGGUUGAAGUUUUUUUAGAGGGACAUUAAAUGGUUUUUCUUCAAAAAUUUGACUCAAAGAAGGAAGGGACCAAAGAUAUACACAUAUUCUUUGGUACCGUUACUUGCACUUAGAAUCUGCAUGAAAAUGUUUAAAUAGCUACCCCAGGCUUACAGCUUGUGGGCUGAGCUUUUUAUCCCUAUCUCCUGGUGCUCACCUCUUUGUCUAAUUCCUUCCCCUUGAGUAUGGGCAGGACCUGUGAUUGCUUUUAACCAAUAGAAUACAGCAAAAAGAGUGGGCCAUUGUUCCCAUGGUUCUAUUAUGUAAGGUUUUGUUUUGGUUGCCAACAUGAGAGACUCUCCUUGCUGGCUGGAUGAAGUAAGCAGGCAUUUUGAGGAAGCUAUGUGGCAUGGGUUAACAGGCAGCCUCUAGGAGCUAAGGACAGCCUCCCAACAUCAGAAAGAAGCCAAGGGCCUCAUUCUCACAACCUCAAAGAAAUAAAUGCUGCCAAUAACUGGAGUGAGCUUGGAAGUGGAUUCUUCCCCACUCCAGCCUCCAGAUGAGAACACAGCCUGGUCAAUACCUUGAUUAUAGCUCUGUAAGACCCUGAGCAGAAGACCCAGUAAAGUUGUGUCCAGAUUCCUAA
rnacentral:lncRNA from 1 species